rnacentral:rRNA from 1 species
GAUGAACGCUGGCGGCGUGCUUAACACAUGCAAGUCGAACGAUGAACCUCACUUGUGGGGGGAUUAGUGGCGAACGGGUGAGUAACACGUGAGUAACCUGCCCUUGACUCUGGGAUAAGCCUGGGAAACCGGGUCUAAUACUGGAUACGACCUUCCCGCGCAUGCGGUGUUGGUGGAAAGCUUUUGUGGUUUUGGAUGGACUCGCGGCCUAUCAGCUUGUUGGUGGGGUAAUGGCCUACCAAGGCGACGACGGGUAGCCGGCCUGAGAGGGUGACCGGCCACACUGGGACUGAGACACGGCCCAGACUCCUACGGGAGGCAGCAGUGGGGAAUAUUGCACAAUGGGCGCAAGCCUGAUGCAGCGACGCCGCGUGAGGGAUGAAGGCCUUCGGGUUGUAAACCUCUUUCAGUAGGGAAGAAGCCGGCCCUUUGGGUUGGUGACGGUACCUGCAGAAGAAGCGCCGGCUAACUACGUGCCAGCAGCCGCGGUAAUACGUAGGGCGCAAGCGUUAUCCGGAAUUAUUGGGCGUAAAGAGCUCGUAGGCGGUUUGUCGCGUCUGCCGUGAAAGUCCGGGGCUUAACUCCGGAUCUGCGGUGGGUACGGGCAGACUAGAGUGCAGUAGGGGAGACUGGAAUUCCUGGUGUAGCGGUGAAAUGCGCAGAUAUCAGGAGGAACACCGAUGGCGAAGGCAGGUCUCUGGGCUGUAACUGACGCUGAGGAGCGAAAGCAUGGGGAGCGAACAGGAUUAGAUACCCUGGUAGUCCAUGCCGUAAACGUUGGGCACUAGGUGUGGGGGACAUUCCACGUUUUCCGCGCCGUAGCUAACGCAUUAAGUGCCCCGCCUGGGGAGUACGGCCGCAAGGCUAAAACUCAAAGGAAUUGACGGGGGCCCGCACAAGCGGCGGAGCAUGCGGAUUAAUUCGAUGCAACGCGAAGAACCUUACCAAGGCUUGACAUGAACCGGAAUGAUGCAGAGAUGUGUCAGCCACUUGUGGCCGGUUUACAGGUGGUGCAUGGUUGUCGUCAGCUCGUGUCGUGAGAUGUUGGGUUAAGUCCCGCAACGAGCGCAACCCUCGUUCCAUGUUGCCAGCGGGUUAUGCCGGGGACUCAUGGGAGACUGCCGGGGUCAACUCGGAGGAAGGUGGGGACGACGUCAAAUCAUCAUGCCCCUUAUGUCUUGGGCUUCACGCAUGCUACAAUGGCCGGUACAAAGGGUUGCGAUACUGUGAGGUGGAGCUAAUCCCAAAAAGCCGGUCUCAGUUCGGAUUGAGGUCUGCAACUCGACCUCAUGAAGUUGGAGUCGCUAGUAAUCGCAGAUCAGCAACGCUGCGGUGAAUACGUUCCCGGGCCU